UAAUACGAAGGGGGCUAGCGUUGCUCGGAAUUACUGGGCGUAAAGGGCGCGUAGGCGGAUAUUUAAGUCGGGGGUGAAAGCCCAGGGCUCAACCCUGGAAUUGCCUUCGAUACUGGAUAUCUUGAGUACGGGAGAGGUGUGUGGAACUCCGAGUGUAGAGGUGAAAUUCGUAGAUAUUCGGAAGAACACCAGUGGCGAAGGCGACACACUGGCCCGUUACUGACGCUGAGGCGCGAAAGCGUGGGGAGCAAACAGGAUUAGAUACCCUGGUAGUCCACGCUGUAAACGAUGAGUGCUAGUUGUCGGCAUGCAUGCAUGUCGGUGACGCAGCUAACGCAUUAAGCACUCCGCCUGGGGAGUACGGUCGCAAGAUUA
rnacentral:rRNA from 1 species